rnacentral:rRNA from 1 species
UGGGGAAUUUUGGACAAUGGACGCAAGCCUGAUCCAGCAAUGCCGCGUGCAGGAUGAAGGCCUUCGGGUUGUAAACUGCUUUUGUACGGAACGAAACGGCUCUGGUUAAUACCUGGGGCUAAUGACGGUACCGUAAGAAUAAGCACCGGCUAACUACGUGCCAGCAGCCGCGGUAAUACGUAGGGUGCGAGCGUUAAUCGGAAUUACUGGGCGUAAAGCGUGCGCAGGCGGUGAUGUAAGGCAGAUGUGAAAUCCCCGGGCUCAACCUGGGACCUGCAUUUGUGACUGCAUCGCUGGAGUGCGGCAGAGGGGGAUGGAAUUCCGCGUGUAGCAGUGAAAUGCGUAGAUAUGCGGAGGAACACCGAUGGCGAAGGCAAUCCCCUGGGCCUGCACUGACGCUCAUGCACGAAAGCGUGGGGAGCAAUCA